rnacentral:rRNA from 1 species
UCAAACUGGAGAUGGCGACCGGCGCACGGGUGAGUAACACGUAUCCAACCUGCCGAUAACUCGGGGAUAGCCUUUCGAAAGAAAGAUUAAUACCCGAUGGUAUAAUCAGACCGCAUGGUUUGAUUAUUAAAGAAUUUCGGUUAUCGAUGGGGAUGCGUUCCAUUAGUUUGUUGGGGGGGUAACGGCCCACCAAGACUACGAUGGAUAGGGGUUCUGAGAGGAAGGUCCCCCACAUUGGAACUGAGACACGGUCCAA